AGUCCCUGAACAAGAAGUAUGGAUGAAGUGUUCCUUUGCUUCUAAUGAACUCUCUCAACACUCAUGAUGACACACAGAAGAUUGUUGAGAAGUACUCCAACUCCAACAUUGAAAUUCACACUUUCAACCAGAGCCAAUACCCUCGCAUUGUCUCCG